rnacentral:misc_RNA from 1 species
AACGCACAUUGCGCCCCCUGGUAUUCCGGGGGGCAUGCCUGUCCGAGCGUCAUGUCUCCCCUCAAGCGCGGCUUGUGUGUUGGGCGCUGUCCCCCCGGGGACACGCCCCAAAGGCAGUGGCGGCGUCGCGUCGGGUCCUCGAGCGUAUGGGGCUUUGUCACCCGCUCGGGAGGGACCUGCGGGCGCUGGUCUUCCUGGCGCAACCCUCUCUGGGUUGCUUCUCUGGUUGACCUCGGAUCAGGUAGGAGUUACCCGCUGAACUUAA